rnacentral:rRNA from 1 species
AAAUGAAUAGACGGGGGCCCGCACAAGCGGAGGAACAUGUGGUUUAAUUCGAUGAUACGCGAGGAACCUUACCUGGGUUUAAAUGCAGGACGACAUCUGCCGAAAGGUGGACUUCUUCGGACGGACUGCAAGGUGCUGCAUGGUUGUCGUCAGCUCGUGCCGUGAGGUGUAGGAUUAAGUUCCAUAACGAGCGCAACCCCUAUCGUUAGUUGCCAGCGGAUAAUGCCGGGAACUCUAACGAAACUGCCAGUGUAAACUGUGAGGAAGGUGGGGAUGACGUCAAAUCAGCACGGCCCUUAUAUCCAGGGCUACACACGUGUUACAAUGGCCAGUACAAAGGGCAGCUACCCCGCGAGGGGAUGCUAAUCUCUAAAGCUGGUCUCAGUUCGGAUUGAAGUCUGCAACUCGACUUCAUGAAGCUGGAUUCGCUAGUAAUCGCGCAUCAGCCACGGCGCGGUGAAUACGUUCCCGGGCCUUGUACACACCGCCCGU